rnacentral:rRNA from 1 species
ACAGGUGAUUAGUGGCGAACGGGUGAGUAACACGUGAGUAACCUGCCCCUGACUCUGGGAUAAGCCCGGGAAACUGGGUCUAAUACUGGAUAUGCACCGUGAACCGCAUGGUUCUUGGUGGAAAGAUUUUUUGGUCAGGGAUGGACUCGCGGCCUAUCAGCUUGUUGGUGAGGUAAUGGCUCACCAAGGCGACGACGGGUAGCCGGCCUGAGAGGGUGACCGGCCACACUGGGACUGAGACACGGCCCAGACUCCUACGGGAGGCAGCAGUGGGGAAUAUUGCACAAUGGGCGAAAGCCUGAUGCAGCGACGCCGCGUGAGGGAUGACGGCCUUCGGGUUGUAAACCUCUUUCAGUAGGGAAGAAGCGAAAGUGACGGUACCUGCAGAAGAAGCGCCGGCUAACUACGUGCCAGCA